UAAUGAGGGGAGGAAAAGAAACUAACUAGGAUUCCCUUAGUAGCGGCGAGCGAAACGGGAAGAGCCCAGCACGUAGACCGACAGCUGUAAUGGUUGUUUGGUGAUGCCGUGUGUAGGAGCAUCUAUUAUCUUGUGUCAAAACAGUAUGUUCAAGUCCAUCUUGAAUGAGGCCAUGUACCCAGAGAGGGUGCUAGGCCCGUAGUGACUGCUGUUGAUGCAAGAAGGUGUCUCCUAGGAGUCGUGUUGCUUGAUAGUGCAGCACUAAGAGGGAGGUAAACUUCUUCUAAGGCUAAAUAUUACCAUGAGACCGAUAGCGAACAAGUACCGUGAGGGAAAGUUGAAAAGCACUCUGAAUAGAGAGUCAAAAAGUACGUGAAACCGUUUAAGGGUUUAAACCUGAUGAACCUAAAUAUCUGAAUGAGGAAAUUCAGCAUUAUUAUAUCAGAUGAUGGUAUAAUGGUGUGCACUUUUCUUCUAGUAAGACGUUGCGAUCCAUUAGAAAAACAAUAUAAAAUCUGUAUAUAGGCCCAGGUAGGAGUUUGUACAUUAAGCGAGUAACAUGACUUUGUUGUUAUGUGAAUGCGUGCAAACUACUUGGUGUUCUUACAGAUGUCUGAUGGUAUUAUGAAUAAAUGUCGCAUACAAUUCCCUGUGAAUUGAUAUCUCUUGUGGAUAUGAUGCGUACAUUAUCAGCAACGUUUUAGA
rnacentral:rRNA from 1 species